GAGAGAGGGAGGCGAUGAGCUCGACAGUGACUGGAGGGACCCGCAGGAGCUGGGCUGGCUUGUUGCAGCCACGGGAGAGGCUAUUUUUUUUUUUUGCCGAAGGGAGCGUGGGAAAGAGGAGACAGCCCCCCACCGCCCCAGCCAGCACCCCGCACCUCUUUGGCAUGUGCGCUCCUGCAGCGACUGGGAAGGUGUUUGUUCAGCAGAAACGCGUGGGAAGCAAUGCGAGCAGAGCCUGUGCAGAGGGAGAAACUCAUCAGGGCUGCUGAAAACACCGUAGAGAGGCGCUUCGCGGACUGAUUCGGCAUUACGAGCAGGUCCCAGCCAAGUAUCGACAAAUACCUUAACAACGUCGAAAGUAGCCUAUUUUAAGAGGAAAUAUGCAGAAGAAGAAGAAGAUUUACAUCAGGAUUACCAGGGGUAUUUUCCAAAACACCUGAUCCUGCCCGAAGACCGGACUUGUAUCUUGAAACUUUCUCUGCAGAAGCUCCAGUUCCUCGAAGAUCCCGAGAUCUACCUCCGCCGGUCCGUCUUGAUCAACAACCUGCUGCGGAAGAUUCACCUGGAAACGGAGCGGGAACGCUAUGAAUACUUUAAGGGGAGUCCGUGCUGCCGGACUGCCUACGCGGAUGCACGAAAACGGCUGAAGUUCAUGGUCCAAGAAUGCCGUUCUCAAUCCCUUUAUUACGAAGAGCUGCAUUCGUAUCAUAUCGUGCCUUACCCUACGGAGAAUGCCAUUUACGGAGUGGGCUACUCGAGCGGCCACCUGGAGCAGAAUUCUCAGUUGCUUAUUUAUAAGAUGGAGUGAAGGUCGUGCUUUCUUUUCUUGUAGACCUGCCCGUUGUUUCGCUUCUGAGCGGCUAGGAGAGCUUCUUAGCCUGCUACGGCAAGGCGCUAGCU